rnacentral:rRNA from 1 species
AUUGAACGCUGGCGGCAUGCCUUACACAUGCAAGUCGAACGGUAACAGGUCUUCGGAUGCUGACGAGUGGCGAACGGAUGAGUAAUACAUCGGAACGUGCCUAGUAGUGGGGGAUAACUACUCGAAAGAGUGGCUAAUACCGCAUGAGAUCUACGGAUGAAAGCAGGGGAUCGCAAGACCUUGUGCUACUAGAGCGGCCGAUGGCAGAUUAGGUAGUUGGUGGGAUAAAAGCUUACCAAGCCGACGAUCUGUAGCUGGUCUGAGAGGACGAUCAGCCACACUGGGACUGAGACACGGCCCAGACUCCUACGGGAGGCAGCAGUGGGGAAUUUUGGACAAUGGGCGCAAGCCUGAUCCAGCAAUGCCGCGUGCAGGAUGAAGGCCUUCGGGUUGUAAACUGCUUUUGUACGGAACGAAAAGCCCUGGGUUAAUACCCUGGGGUCAUGACGGUACCGUAAGAAUAAGCACCGGUUAACUACGUGCCAGCCGCCGCCGUAAAAC